rnacentral:snRNA from 1 species
UUUUUAUUUGGCAGUACAUAUACUAAAAUUGGAACGAUACGGAGAAAACUAGCAUGGCCCCUGCGCAAGGAUGACACGCAAAUUCGUGAAGCGUUCCAUAUUUUC